CCAACCAUCCUUGCAUCCCUGGAAUAAAUCCCACUUGGUUGUGAUGGAUGAUCCUUUUGGUCUACUUUUGAAUUCAGUUUGCCAAUAUUUUGUUGAGUAUUUUUGUGUCUAUUUUCAUCAGGAAUAUUGGUCUAUAAUCUUAUUGUUUUGUAGUUUCUUUGUUUGGUUUUGGUAUUAGAGUGAUGCUGGACCUGUAGAAUGACUUUGUAAGUAUUCCCUCCUCUUCCAGUUUUUGGAAUACUUUAAGAAGGAUGGGUAUUAGCUCUUAUUUAAAUGUUUGGUAGAAUUCACCUGGGAAACCAUCUGGACUUUUGUUUGUUGGGAGUUGUUUGAUUGCCAAUUCGGUUGUUACUGGUAAUUGGUCUGUUCAAAUUUUCUGUUUCUUCCUCAGUCAGUCUUGGAAGGUUGUCCAUUUCUUCUAUAUUGUCCAAUUUCUUGGCAUAUAAUUUUCAUAGAAUUCUCUAAUAAUUCCUUGUACUUCUGUGGUGUCAGUUGGAACUUCUUUUUGUUUCUGAUUUUGACUAUUUUUGUCCCUGUCUUUUUUUCCUGGUAAGUCUGGCUAGGGGAUUAUCUAUUUUGUUACUCAAAGAACUAUCUUUUGGUUUUUUAAAUUUUUUCAAUGGUUUUAUUCUUCUCUAUUUUAUUUAUUUCUGCUCUGAUCUUUAUUAUGUCCCUCCUUCUACUAACUUUGAGUUUCAUUUGUUCUUCUUUUUCUAGUUUCUUUACUUGUGAGUUUACACUGUUUAUUUAGGAUUGUUCUUGUUGUAACUCCUCCCUGAAAAAAGGUUGCAUUACUGUAUAUUUGUUGGGAGCGAGCCUAUGGACUUUAAGCAAUGCCAGUUAUGUAAGUUAAGACAACAGCAAUCAUUUCUGCAGUAUCCUAGAAAAAGCAAAGCUGCUCUCCUAGCCAAAUCAAUAUAGAUCUUGCAGUCAGAUUGCUAAGCAACAUUUCCUCCUCUGUUCUUUCCACUGGCCUUCUAACCCUGCCAACACCCUGCUUCUCAAGAACAUCCUCUGCCCCAGGGGAAGGCCCCACCCUUAAAACCUCCCUCCCAAGGGCCCCCGCCCACAAGAUGGCGAACUCCCCGCUUCUCUUCUGGGUCCUCUGCUCCCGCCGGCGCCACCUAAGGUCCAAUUAUCUUCUGACCCACCCCUUCCUUGCUAACCUGUAUAAAUUGAGCCUGCAAACAAUAAACUGUGCCAGCUUGAUCAGACAUCCUGUCUUGCUGGUCGUGCUUUGUGUCCCUUGCUUGUUUCAUUUCUGCAGGUUUCUCGUUUUGGCCCUCGUUGAUAGUCCCGCGGGACGGGACAACUGGCGCCCAACGUGGGGCUCGACGGGACUCCUGCUGAAACGUCUACUUGUAGUCCUGGCCAGGCACUCAUUUGAGACGUCACGCAGGUAGGAGCCUGAUGCCGACUCUGCAUUGACGAUCACUGCGGCCCACCCGUCCAUAAUACAGAUCCGUGAGAGGUGAGUAGACGCAUUCCCCAAGCAAGCAUUUCAAAAUACCUCUUGUGAGUUCAAUUUUAGUAAUCUGAUUGAUUUUAUCACUUCCCUCCAGUCUCCUGCCGCGAUUUAUUCCUUGUUUUGUCCUCUGGUUGUCCCUCUCUGAAAACCUUGUGCUUACUUUGGGCUGACGGCCGUUCACCUCGAAGGCAUACCCAGGGGACUCUGACUAUGGAGUCCCUGCCCUAGAGGGUCCGAGCAGGCGGAUUAUACCUGCCGGCUGUCCUACGUAAGCAAGGGCUCGUCUGAGCUGAUGAGAGUGGCUCCACUGACUCAAGACAUUGGUGUAGUCGCGGCUGACUUGGAGAGAUUCAAAUUUAGUUAGAGCAGAGGUUGUAACCAUAGUGAUGGGCAAUUCUCUGAACUCCCACGAGGUAUUUCUUAACAGAGUUAAGGAUUCUCUCAGGACACGAGGUGUAAGGGUUAAGAAAAAAGAUCUUCGGCACUAUCAGUUGUAAACGCUGGGAAAGAGUUGGUGAUGCCCUCCAAGAUUUUUAUCAGACCUUUGGCCCUGAAAAGAUUCCUGUCUCAGCGUUCUCCUUUUGGAACCUUAUCCAUGAUAUCCUUAAAGUUCAUUCACAAGACCCUGAUAUCAAAAAUGUUAUAGAAACAGGAGAAAUAGCCCUUAGAAAAAACUCCCGACCACCCUCUACUUGUCCUUCAAUAACUGUGGACAUCCCUGAAGAUCCCGCUGUUUCUCUUGAAGAACCUCCUAAGCCGCAAUCUGAACAAAAUAUUCCAGAUCCCCAAGAUAAACCUGAAAGUAAACCUGGCAAAUCUAAUUCCCCCAAAAUCCCCUCCAUUUACCCUACACUCACAUCUUUAAGACAUCAAAACAAUCAUUUAAGCCCGGAAGAUGAAGAGACAUUAAGAGAACAAGCUGCUCAUUAUCAUGAUCAUGAGAACCCCUGGCGUCUCACGGCGCCAGUCCUUUACACCUUAAGCCUCCCCCAUACAAACCUAUCCACCCCCCCCAAUGCGUCCCUAUGCAGCUAAAUAUAUUUUGCCACAAGGGAAGAAAAUAGUCAAAAGUUCCAUGAACUACUACAAUAUGGAGCUAGUUUUUAAAAUUCUUUUAGUGAACAUCUAUUCUACUUAUUAAGUUCAUCACUAUCUUUGAGAAUUGAGAAGUCUUAAACUAAACUUCCUGAGAUAGAACAAAUUUAUCUUCUGCAGUACAGCCUGGUUUUAAAUGACUGGAGCUAGAGUUGUACUUGCAUUUCAUUUCCAGCCCCCUGGACCAUACACACAGUCCCUAUCAGUCCAGAGCCUUCAUCGGCCCUGUUAGUCUGGGGCUGUCUAAACCUUAACCCAGUUAUGUAAACUGCUUGCCCUUAGAGUGUAUUCUUGAAAACUGAAGUACUUUUAAUCAAAUAAACUAAGAAGAAAGAAGGCAAUUAAAUAUUAGAAACUCAAAUCUUUAUGUCAGUUUGUCUGUAUGUUUUUAUAUGAAAAGUGUUGCUAACUGUAGUCAUUAUGUCUUGGUCUGUAUGUUUGUGUGUCUAAGUGUGUAAAUAAAAAAUGUUUUCUACCUCCAGAUGGUAUUAAUAAAAAUUGAUUUAAAAACAAGCGCUUGUGAAAAUUGGGCAUUCUAAAACUUCCAGAAAAUCUAAUAAAAAAUAUUAUGCAUUAAUGCUAAUUUAAGCUUAACUGAUACGGACGUGUCCUUAUAGUUAUUAACUGCCAAAGUUUACUUAAAGUCAUUUAAGUUGAUGUUACCUGUUAAAUAUUUCAAGAAGAUGCUUAAAGAAAAGCUUGACUUUGAUGUUUAGUAAAAGUUUUAUAAGUAAUCUGGCAUGUUGCUAAAAAUAAGUAAACAAGUGUAGUAAAUAAACUUUUUAAUAAUAUUACUGUGUUAAUGUAUAAAUGUAUAUAUCUGCAAACAGCUUGAGAAUUUUUGUGGUAACCGAAAUUCUUAAAGUUUGCUAAGCUAUAUAGACAUAUUUUGUACUUAAUAAGAAUUUGUGCUAUAAGGCACAUUUCCAAAAAUGAUAAAAUAUGUUCAUAAAUGUAUCAAUCUGAAGAAUGUUGGUGUAACAGUUUACAGUGGCCUGUAUUUCAGUGUUCACUGAAAGUUAAAGUAUCAAAUAGUUUUAAGUUCUGAUGAAAACUACUUGAUAUAAUAAGGAAAAUAUUUUGGUAUGUUAAGAUGUGUGUUUUAAUAAGAGAAAGUAUAAAGAAUGGAAAUUCGUUUUGUUGAGAGUAAAGAAGGUUAAUUGUUCUAAAGUACAGGUAUUUAUUUAAAGGGAGACAGAGAGACAGAGACAGCAGUGUGGUGCAGCAGCAUGGUGCCUUUUGUUGUGGCAGAUCCGCUCAGCCUGUUGCUUUGGGGGAGGGUCAAGAUGUUUAGAGAUAAGGCGGGAUAAACCCAGUCAAGCCCCAGGCAAGCCCAGGCAUAAUUCUCACUGGCUUAUGUGCUUGGGACCAUGGGGCAAAUGAAGAAUAAAUUACUGUAUUCUUACAGAUAUAAUCAUGCUAUGUGAAAUUAAAGCAAGUGAGUCUUAAUAUCAAGAACACAGCAAAAUCGGACUUUUGUUUUCAGUUGGAAAGACAAAGUAUUCUUUAACUGUUAGUCUGCUCUUAAUAUUGAAAGAUUGCAAAGGGUUCUCUAAUUGUUUUAUUAAAACAGUUUCUUAUGCUUAAAGUCUUAAUAAAUUGUCAUUUGUGAGUAUUUAAGAAAAUAAGAUCUUCAUAUUAAAAAGACUAAGCUAAGUGUUAACAACUAUGUAACCUGCAUUUGCUUUUAAACUUUAUUAUCAUUCUAGUUAAAUAAUAAGUGUUAUUUAAUAACUAUAAUUGUAUUUAGGCAAGUGCCUUAAAACCUUUUGACAACUUCCCAAGACAAAAUUUAAAAAAGUAUUUUUACCUCUCAAUUAACUCUGAUAUUUUCCAGAGGGCCCCUGGAACAUAUCAGUAUAAUUUCUUCUCAUCGAAGAAAAUAUUUGACUAAUUUGGCUUAUUUACCUGAUAUAUACUUACCUAAAAAGUGCUGUCAAAAGGAACAAUGCUAAACUUUGUUACUGAAUGUUUUAUGUUACAGAAAGGUCACUCCUCCCCCUAAGACGCUUACUCCUGAUGCCCAAUUACAUUUACUUGUUAGUACUACUAUAAUUACUGAUUGUGUAUGUAUUAAUUGUACUCAUGUAUCCUCUUACUGUAAUUGUACAAUCAAUGUAAAAUAGUCCUCUAGAUAUAGACUUCCAAAUGGUUAAGUAUUUUUGUGUAAUAACAAAACAUAUCAAGCCCUCUCUCCACACUAUCAAGGUGUUUGUGGGGUGAGACGCAUUCUUCCUGCUCUAAUAGACCAUCCUGAAUAUAAGCACAAGAGACUUCUCCAAGCUCUGCCAUCUGACUGUGAUGAAAACUUGAAGCUUUGAGGUCCUGCUGCUGUUGCAGUUGCAGCUGUGUUCCUCCUGCCGGUUCCUGGACUUGUCGUUAGAAUGCUAAAGGAGAUAUCUAAGCUGGCCUGCGCAUAUAGCAAAACGACAAAAUUGACUGCUUCUGUAUUAUCUGAACUCCACCAAGAACUGAGAGAAUUGCGAGCUGCGGUGCCUCAGAAUCGCGCUGCUGUGGACUGUCUGCUGUUAAAAGAGCAUUCCAGACAUGCUCUGAUUAUUAUGACUGGGAAUCAAGACAACUGGCUUUUUGUCAUAACUGGAUGGCUGUGUGGCCUCGAGCAAAGAAAAGGAAUCUGAGCUGCUUUGAGAACCCUCACUGCCUGAUCCUCCUCCAUGGGCUCACCAUCCAUUUCCCCAGUUGCUCGUCUUCUCACCCAACACUGGCCUUCAAUUUGGUUCUUACUCCUCCACCCUGAUGGGACCUCUUACUCCACAUUUUGCAACACUCAUCUCCACUUCCACUCAUCACUGAAGAAGUUUCCACCAGCACGGAGUCCUAAGACCUCCCUUAUGACGGCCAUGCAUCAUGCUUCAGGAUUACCAACCCCUCUCCAAAGAUGAUGAUCCUUAUUAAAUCUGGAACAUGCCAUCACAACUUCAGACCAAGGGAUCAUCCGAGGACCACCCCCCAUCAAUACAAAAAUGAACUUUAUCGCCCCUAAUCAGCAGGAAGCAGUUACCAAAGACUAACCUUCACCCCUUCCCUAAGUCCUCUACCACUUAUAAAACAGAAAAGGGAGGAAUAUAAGAAUAUAGUACUUUAUCUUCCAUUUACACCAUGGUCGCAAGCACAUAGGCCAGUGAAAAUCAUGUCUGGACUUGCCUCACCUUAUCUCUAAACAUUCCGCCCUGCGCCUAAGGCAACAGGCCAAGCGGUACUUUUCCACUCCGCCACUAUAAAAGGCACAACGCUCUGCCCCAUGAGGCUGCUCUCUCUCUGGGGGCAGCCAUUUGUUCUUUCAGAUAAUAAAAUCUCUUGCAUGGA